UGAGAAGAUGGAUCACAGCCAAGGGCACAAU
rnacentral:piRNA from 1 species